UGCGGCACUUCAUUGAAGUUUUCCCUCCAUUUUAGACAGGUGUGCUGCAGAGUCCUCCUGUGUAUUUCAUACAGAAGGUCGUAUCUUUGUCCAUGUGAUGUCAGAUGAAACAAAAAUGGAGCUGUUUGGCCACAAUACCCAGCAAUAUGUUUGGAGGAGAAAAGACUGGAUUGAGACCAAACACAUCCAUGCUGAGUUCUUGUAAUGGAGUCUGAUCAGAAAGCCAGUGGGGAUGCAAAGUCGCAGCAAAAAGUAGGUUACUUCAAAGCAGGGAGCCAGAAUGUCAGAAUUAAAUCUUAAAUCUUAACGCCAGUUUGUUGGUUCUUGAACCUACACGUACACAGUGAACCUCAAUUGUCCAACUUAAUUGAUUCUUGAACAUGGUUCACCAACCGAGACAUUGGUACAGUAACACAUAUUUCCCCAUAAGAAACAAUGUCAACAUGAAUGAUUGGUUCUCGCCUCGACCAAAGUCCCCAAUGUAUUUUAAAAGCUGCCCACUUUGUAUUUUAUGCACAUACAUCGUAAUAACACAACUUAACAAUCUCUCUCUUACCCAAACAAAACAACAGCCAGCACACACACACACACAAAAGUC